UCUCGAUUGGUCUAGUGGUCAGGAUACCUGCUUGUCAUCAUAAGGCAAGAACGCAGGUGGCCGGGGUUCGAUUCCCCGAUCGAGAG